AUUAAACCAGGAUAAAAAAAAAUGUGAAAGUAGGCUAUACUGUUUUGGUCAGUUUAAUACCUUUUCUUGUCGGUGGGUUUCCUCUUCCCAUUUCAACUAUUAAGAAAAACCCUAAAGCUUGCAGCCUCAAUCUUUUUACUGGUCAUAGCAUUCAUGUACUAAUUUAGAUGAUAAGUACACAUGAAUUAAGGAUUUAGAUUGUGGUUGUAGAUGAGUUUUUGGUUGAAUUUGCCAUUUAAAUCCUUAUGGAUUAGAGGUUUCCAGGAGAAGAUGAAACUUAACAGCAAGUUAUAUCUACUAGUGGAAGCAAAAUCAUAAUCCAUUUUGUUAGGCUUUAAGAGAUAUCAUAGAGCAGUUAUAGUGGGUAUUUUUUUCCAUGAAAAGAUUAAUCAUACCUGUAGUAAUUUUAUGGUAUAACUAACUUGUCAAUCCACCUCUUUCUUGAUUUCUCUUUUAGCUCCUAAUAUUUUCAACUUUCACAAAUUCUAGCACUUUGUUUUAUUUCAAUCUUCUUUUGCAGACCCAAUAUAUGCUUGACCAGCUUUCUGAACUUCAGAAUAAGGAACAAAUGCUAAUGGAAACUAAGAGGGCUUUGUCAAUAAAGCUUGAAGAAAUUAGUGCCAGAAACCAGCUCCGAAUAUCAUGGGAAGGUGGUGAGCAAAGUGUAGCAUUCACUAACCAGUAGGCUUAAUCUAUGGGGUUGUUUCAGCCAUUGGAAUGCAAUCCAACUUUGCAGAUAGGGAUUCACAUUCAAGGAGCAAGAAACAUCGCAGCAACUCAUUGGGAUCGAGCAGUCAGAAUUCAGAAUCAAGUGACACACAAGAGCUAGAUUUGGAGCUUAGACUAUCAAUGUAAUCAAUAAUUUUUUUUUGCCACUUUAAAUGCAUGCUCAUGGAACUACAUUUUAUGCUUUCCUAGAAUUGUAAGUUCAAAUAAGGUGUUGAUCUGCAAGUCAUACAUACAAUAU